rnacentral:rRNA from 1 species
CGGCAGACGGGUGAGUAACGCGUGGGAACGUGCCCUCGGUUCGGAAUAACUCAGGGAAACUUGAGCUAAUACCGGAUACGUGCGAGAGCAGAAAGGUUUAUCUGCCGAAGGAUCGGCCCGCGUCUGAUUAGCUAGUUGGUGAGGUUAUGGCUCACCAAGGCGACGAUCAGUAGCUGGUCUGAGAGGAUGAUCAGCCACACUGGGACUGAGACACGGCCCAG